rnacentral:rRNA from 1 species
UACGAAGGGUGCAAGCGUUACUCGGAAUUACUGGGCGUAAAGCGUGCGUAGGCGGGUCUUUAAGUCAGGGGGGAAAUCCUGGAGCUCAACUCCAGAACUGCCUUUGAUACUGAGGAUCUUGAGUUCGGGAGAGGUGAGUGGAACUGCGAGUGUAGAGGUGAAAUUCGUAGAUAUUCGCAAGAACACCAGUGGCGAAGGCGGCUCACUGGCCCGAUACUGACGCUGAGGCACGAAAGCGUGGGGAGCAAACAGG